AUAUAUGACUCUUAUGAGCAACUACUCUUGUUCAGAACGCGCUUCUGUUCUGUUCCAGAAAUCAACUGGGCUGCUGGUAGCCCAUCAUAACUGAGCCUGCGAUGUGGUUGACCUGUUGGUGUCUUAUCGCUAGCAUCCAUGAUUACCUCUGGAGUCCAGAGCAGAUGUUCUGAGCACAACGUUAUCUGUUGAGGAACAUUCCAUAUUUAUUUUCUCCAGAGCCCCAGGCAUAGCGGAAAUGCGGGAAUACUGGUACUAUUGGCCAGGCUUUUAUAACAAUAUUUGCUCAAAAGGAGCUCGAUUGCCCUGGCUAUUUAUUGGCAAUGGUGGCUCAAAAUCAGCCGAACACAGAUCGUUUAGCGCUAUUUAACGCCUAAAAGAAUCAGCAAGAAAUCGUCAACUGAUGCAUUCGACCCAACGACUGAUAUAGAGAGAGGAGA
rnacentral:sRNA from 1 species